CUGUGCAAGCGAAUCUGUUCUCAAACGUGGCAACAGUCUCAAACUGAAAAGCAAUGGCUCAGACCCUCCAGCUUCUCAGGGUUUGCAGCGCUGGACCAAAGAGAAGAGUCCUCCGGGGGUCCUAGAAGGGUGAGCCGCGCGUUACCAUGGAGACUGCGGAACUUGAGGGCUCUGAGGCGCGGGUGGGGUUUCUUCGACCUCACCUUGGGGGCGCCCUUUGCACUCCUUCCGUGCCACCGCCGGGAAGGCAGGACUCGCAAGGGCGGCGGCGGAGCUGAGGCCGCGGGGCAGGUAAUUGUAUCCUGUUACCUUCCAUACAAGGAACAUUGCAAUUUCCCAGACCCGCUGUAAUUUCCCAGCUGGAGCAGGGUCAGGAAUCCUAUGUUCUCGAUCUGCAUGGAGCUGACUUAAGAGAGGCCUGUACAAGCUCCUGGGCAGUGUCAAGUGUUAAGACCCAGGUUAGGAGUGGGGAAUCAAUGGAAAAGAACGUUUUGAAAAUGAGGAGUCACACUGAGUCAUCUUGACAAAUAGAAGAAUCAGUGUGGAAAAUCCAUAGAAGCAUUGAAAGAUAAGAAUAGCAAUUCUAAGGAGGUGAACAACGAAGAUCAGGACAUUCUGACGUCAGAACAAAAAGAAGAGGAUUAGGGGAAAGUUUGCACAUAAACUUGGAAUAUGCCAUGUAUGAAAGAAUUCACAGUGCACACAGUUUCUGUGAAUAUAGCACAAGUUGUGAAAACAUCUGUUGGCAGUCAGAACUUAUUCCCCACGAGAAAAUGCAUGACAAAGAGAAAGCUUGUGAAUGUGAAGAAUGUGGAAAAGCUUUCAGAGUGAUCUCAGCCCUCACCCUACAUAACAGAAUUCACAGUGGUGAGAAACCUUAUGGAAGUGAAGAGUGUGGGAAGGCCUUCAGCCAGAGCUCUGCCCUAACCCAGCACAAAAGAAUCCAUAGUGGGGAGAAACCGUCUAUGUGCGACUAGGGUCACAAAGCCUUCCAUGGGAGCUCAGAUCUUAUUAAACACGAGAGAAUUCACACUGGAGUGGAACCCUGUGAAUGAGAGGACUGCAGGAAAUCCUUUAAGAAUAUCUCAGCCCUCACUGGACACCACCGGAUCCACACUGGGAAGAAACCCUUUGAAUGUAAUGAAUGUGAGAAGACCUUUCAUCAGAGCUCAGAUCUUAAUGUACCCAGAAGAGUCCACACAGGAGAGAAACCAUAUACAUGUGAGAAGUGUGGGAAAGCUUUCAGAGUGAGCUCAGAUCCAAUGGGCAUGAAAGAAGAAAGCGUACUGAAGAGAAACUCCCUCAGCGUGAGAAUGAAAAAUCAGCGAGUCCAAUUUCCUCUCCUCAGCCACAUCCACAUCUGCCUCCUUGCAGCAUUUGACACUAAGGAGCCCUUACUUUUUUUUGUAAACUUAACCCUAUUUAAUAUUGUAUCCUGCCUCCUGGUAUUCUCAAUCGCUCUUACCCUACUUUUUUCCAUACAUCUUAGUAAUUUCUAAUGUAUAUUUUAUUUGUUUAUAAUGUUUAUUUAUUACGUGUAUUAUCUUAUCCCUCUGCUAGAAUAUAGGACAGGGAAGUUGGUCUCUUGUUUGCUGAUCUAUUCUAAGCCACUAGAAUCUUGCCUGGUAAAUGGAGGGAGUGGGGCGGGUGGCACAGUAAAUAUUUCUUGAAUGAAAUGAAUUCCCUGCUUUCCAUGAUAUGCUUUUUCUGGGUUACCCUUUAGUGCCUCCAGCUGUUCCUUUCCUCUUGCCUCUUGCCUUUGCUGACUGCUCUUGGUCCCCUUAUCCUAAGCUGUGGCUGUGUAUCAUGUUCUGUUCUUUAGGCAAGAAGUCUUUCUUUUGUGUGUGUGUUUUAUGUACUCAUAGUUCUCCCUAUACAAAAAGAUGGUAUUUAGUCAUAUAUUAAUUGGGAGAAUUUAGCAUAAAUAAUGUUUCCUUUCUCUCUUUUAAUGAUAAACUUUUGCUAAAAAAGAGGAAAUGUUCUCUGAAUAUGGUAAUAAUAAUAAAAAAUUUUAAAGUCAGGGUUAUUUAGAUGUAAUUGACAUAUCAUAAAAUUUAGGUGUGCAGCUUUGUGAGAUUUGCCCAAUGUAUAUAGUUGUGUGAACAUCAUCAUGAUCAAGAACGAAUAUUUGCAUCAUCCCCCCAAAUUUCCUCUUGUCCCUUUUGAAGUCAGUCACUCCUCCUACCCCCAGCCCCUGGUAACCUCUGAUUGGAUUUCUGCCCUAAUAGUUUCUGGGCAAGGAGUCUUAAUUAUGUAACUGGCGUUAUCUUCUCCUGACCUUCACUGCAAUCCUGUUUGACUAAAUGAUGCUCUGCUUUCAGCUCUGCAUCAACAGUAUGUUGUAAUAAAUCACACACGUGCUAUUUCUGUAUUCAUGUGGGCAUUUCAAGGCGAAUCAUGGAAGGGGAAAAGUAAAAACCUGUGUUUCUACCAGUCUCUUGCCUGAAAGUUCUCUUCCUUUUAUCUCAAGAAUGUCAGCAAAUCAUGUCAAUGCUAUGUUUAAAAUAUACCCUGAAUACGUUUCUUACCAUCUCCAUCUAGGUCAAGCUACUGCUUGUAUUCUUGCCUCCCUACAGGGUAGCCUCUAGACAGACUCCACAGAGCAGCCAACUGGAUUAUUUAACAAUUCAAAUCAGGCGAUUUCGCUUAGAAUUCUCCAGUGGCUUCCCAUCAACCACCCCCUUUUAUAAAACAUUUUGUCAUAUUUGCUUCAUUGCUUUCUAAACCAUUUGAAAAUAAGUUGAAAAUAUCAUGAUAUUAUCCCUAAAUACUUCAGCAUGCCUCUCUUAGAAUAAUGGCAUUCUUUUUCGUAGUCCCAAUACCAUUAUCAUACCCAAGAAAAUUACUAGAAAUUCAAUAAUACACCUAACAUCCAGCCCACAUUCAAAUUUCCCCAUUAUCCUGGAAAGUUUUCUAUAGCUGUUUUUUUCCCCAUCAGUCAGGAUCCAAUUAGGGUACACACUGCGAUUGUUAUAUUUCUUUAGUCUAUUUUAAUCUAGAACUAUUCUGUCUAAUAUGGUAGCCACGAGUCGCGUGUGGCUUCUGAGCUGAACGUGGCUAGUGCAGUUGAGAUGUGCUGUCCGUUAAAAUGCACACCGGUUUUGAUUUUACACGGAAAAAAAUAUAAAGUAUCUCAAUUUUUAUA